rnacentral:tRNA from 1 species
CAAUAGGUAGUUUAAUUUAAAAUUUUGGCUUUGGGGGCCAGAGAUGGGAGUUUGAGUCUCUCCCUUUUGA